CAGAUUUGGUGACAUGUCUCGCACAAGACUGUUACCACGGUUCAGAAACUUGCCGGUUAAUGAACCUUCGAAAAACCACCUUGCCGGGUGGUUUUUUCGU
rfam:Klebsiella pneumoniae ISC21, WGS project CBWQ01000000 data, contig: rep_c962